rnacentral:rRNA from 1 species
GACGAACGCUGGCGGCGUGCCUAAUACAUGCAAGUAGGACGCAGUUGCGAACGGGUGAGUAACGCGUAGGUAACUACCUAUUAGAGGGGGAUAACUAUUGGAAACGAUAGCUAAUACCGCAUACUAGUAGAUGGACCUGCGUUGUAUUAGCUAGUAGGUAGGGUAAUGGCCUACCUAGGCAACGAUACAUAGCCGACCUGGGGGGGUGGUCGGCCACACUGGGACUGGGAAACGGCCCAGGAUCCUACGGGAGGGAGCAGUAGGGGAACUUCGGCAAAUGGGGGAACCCUGACCGAGCAACGCCGCGGUGGUGAAGAAAGUUUUCGGAUCGUAAAGCUCUGUUGUUAAGGAAGCGGUACUUAACCAGAAAGGGACGGCUAACUACGUGCCAGCAGCCGCGGUAAUAC